rnacentral:rRNA from 1 species
UGGCGGACGGGUGAGUAACGCGUGGGGUAACCUGCCUCACACAGGGGGAUAACAGUUGGAAACGACCGCUAAUACCGCAUAAGCCAACAGGGGCGCAUGCUCUGGUUGGAAAAGAUUUAUCGGUGUGAGAUGGACCCGCGUCUGAUUAGCCAGUUGGCAGGGUAACGGCCUACCAAAGCGACGAUCAGUAGCCGGCCUGAGAGGGUGAACGGCCACAUUGGGACUGAGACACGGCCCAAACUCCUACGGGAGGCAGCAG